GUAAUAAAUAUUAAUAAUUUUAAUGGGGGUUAAAGUAUAUUAAUAGAAAAAAUUAAAAAUUUUAUAGUGAAGUAUGUAUUGUGAAAGAAUUUUGAAAUAAGUGAAAUAAAUUAAAUUGGGGUAAAGUAAUUUUUAUUUAAUGUAUCUUGUGUAUCAGAGUUUAUUAAAUGAAAUUUUUAAUUAAAAAAUUCUCGAAUUUAAAAGAGAUAAUUAAUUGUAAAAGUUAUUGUAGAAUAAAUAUUUUAAAUAAUUAAUUGGAAAUGAAAUGUUAAUCGUUUUUAAAUAUAUCUAGUUUUUUUAGAAAAAAAUUUAAUUUUAAAUUUAAUUUAUUAAUUUAUUAAUUAAUUAAUAAAUUAAUAAAUUAAAUUUUAUAUUUUAAGGGAUAAGCUUUAAAUUAAAUUUAUAUAAUUUUUAUUUAAAUUUUGAAAAUUAUAUAAUUUAUAUUUUUAAUAAAUUAUAAUUUUUUAUAAAUAAUUUCAAAUAAAAUAAAAUUUAAUUAAAAUUUAUAAUAUUUAUAAAAAAAUAAUUUUUAAUUAAUAAAAAUUAGUUAUAAUGAUAAAAUUAGUAUAUAAUUAUAAAUUUAAUUUGGUUAUAAAUUAAGUUAAUUAUUUUAAAGGAAUUCGGCAAAAAUUUAUAUUCACUUGUUUAUCAAAAACAUGUCUUUUUGUAAAUAAUAUAAAGUCUAAUCUGCCCACUGAUUAAUUAAUUAAAGGGCUGCAGUAUAUUGACUGUACAAAGGUAGCAUAAUCAUUAGUCAUUUAAUUGAUGACUUGUAUGAAAGAUUGGAUGAAAUAUAAACUGUCUCUAAAAUAAUGUGUAGAAUUUAAUUUUUUAAUUAAAAAGUUAAAAUAAAUUAAAAAGACGAGAAGACCCUAUAGAGUUUUAUAAAUGAUUAAUUUAAUUUUAUUUAUAAAUAGAUAUAUAUAUAUAUAUAUAUAUAUAUAUAAAUUUAAUUUAUAAAUUUAUUUUGUUGGGGUGAUAAAAAAAUAAAAAUAACUUUUUUUAAAAAAAAAAUCAUAUAUAAGUGAAUAAAUGAUCCAAUUUUAUUGAUUAUAAGAAAAAAUUACCUUAGGGAUAACAGCGUAAUUUUUUUUUUUAGUUCAAAUAAGAAAAAAAGUUUGCGACCUCGAUGUUGGAUUAAGAUAAAAUUUAAAUGCAGAAGUUUAAAAUUUUUGAUCUGUUCGAUCAUUAAAAUCUUACAUGAUCUGAGUUCAAACCGGUGUGAGCCAGGUUGGUUUCUAUCUUUUAAAAAAAAAAAUAUUUUAGUACGAAAGGAUUAAAUAUUUAAAUUAAAUUUAAAAUAAUGAAUUUUAUUAAAUU
rnacentral:rRNA from 1 species